GACGAACGCUGGCGGCGUGCUUAACACAUGCAAGUCGAACGAUGAAGCCCAGCUUGCUGGGUGGAUUAGUGGCGAACGGGUGAGUAACACGUGAGUAACCUGCCCUUGACUCUGGGAUAAGCGCUGGAAACGGCGUCUAAUACCGGAUACGACCUGCCCCGGCAUCGGGUGUGGGUGGAAAGUUUUUCGGUCAAGAAUGGACUCGCGGCCUAUCAGCCUGUUGGUGAGGUAAUGGCUCACCAAGGCGACGACGGGUAGCCGGCCUGAGAGGGUGACCGGCCACACUGGGACUGAGACACGGCCCAGACUCCUACGGGAGGCAGCAGUGGGGAAUAUUGCACAAUGGGCGAAAGCCUGAUGCAGCAACGCCGCGUGGGGGAUGACGGCCUUCGGGUUUGUAACCUCUUUUAGUAGGGAAGAAAGACUUCGGUUUGACGGUACCUGCAGAAAAAGCACCGGCUAACUACGUGCCAGCAGCCCGCGUAAUACGUAGGGUGCAAGCGUUGUCCGGAAUUAUUGGGCGUAAAGCUCUAGGCGGUUUGUCGCGUCUGCUGUGAAACCCGAGGCUCAAUCUCGGGCCUGCAGUGGGUACGGGCAGACUAGAGUGCGGUAGGGGAGAAUGGAAUUCCUGGUGUAGCGGUGGAAUGCGCAGAUAUCAGGAGGAACACCGAUGGCGAAGGCAGUUCUCUGGGCCGUUACUGACGCUGAGGAGCGAAAGCGUGGGGAGCGAACAGGAUUAGAUACCCUGGUAGUCCACGCCGUAAACGUUGGGAACUAGAUGUGGGGACCUCUCCACGGUCUCCGUGUCGCAGCUAACGCAUUAAGUUCCCCGCCUGGGGAGUACGGCCGCAAGGCUAAAACUCAAGGGAAUUGACGGGGGCCCGCACAAGCGGCGGAGCAUGCGGAUUAAUUCGAUGCAACGCGGAGAACCUUACCAAGGCUUGACGUAUACCGGAAACUUCCAGAAAUGGUUGCCCCGCAAGGUCGGUAUACAGGUGGUGCAUGGUUGUCGUCAGCUCGUGUCGUGAGAUGUUGGGUUAAGUCCCGCAACGAGCGCAACCCUCGUUCUAUGUUGCCAGCACGUCAUGGUGGGAACUCAUAGGAGACUGCCGGGGUCAACUCGGAGGAAGGUGGGGAUGACGUCAAAUCAUCAUGCCCCUUAUGUCUUGGGCUUCACGCAUGCUACAAUGGCCGGUACAAAGGGCUGCGAUACCGUAAGGUGGAGCGAAUCCCAAAAAGCCGGUCUCAGUUCGGAUUGAGGUCUGCAACUCGACCUCAUGAAGUCGGAGUCGCUAGUAAUCGCAGAUCAGCAACGCUGCGGUGAAUACGUUCCCGGGCCU
rnacentral:rRNA from 1 species